UAGCUUUGUCCUCAGUCAAACUUCUUCAAAUUUGACCAUGUUUAUAGAAAAUAUAUUAACAUUCUACAAUAUCAAAUAAGUAUACUAUGAAGAUAUAUAUGACAUAUUCAAUAAAACUAAUUUAAAGUUAUAAAUGCUGGUAGAUUUUUCUAUAAACUUGAUCAAACCCUGAGAAGUUUGACUUAGGACAAAGCUAU
rnacentral:pre_miRNA from 1 species